rfam:Heligmosomoides polygyrus genome assembly, scaffold: HPBE_scaffold0001713
GCGCCGGUGGUGUAAGGCGAACAUCGCUGCCCGGAAAGCAGAAAAUGCGGGUUCGAGUCCCGCCUGGCGCA